UGGGGAAUUUUGGACAAUGGGGGAAACCCUGAUCCAGCCAUCCCGCGUGUGCGAUGAAGGCCUUCGGGUUGUAAAGCACUUUUGGCAGGAAAGAAACGUCGCGGGUUAAUACCCCGCGGAACUGACGGUACCUGCAGAAUAAGCACCGGCUAACUACGUGCCAGCAGCCGCGGUAAUACGUAGGGUGCAAGCGUUAAUCGGAAUUACUGGGCGUAAAGCGUGCGCAGGCGGUUCGGAAAGAAAGAUGUGAAAUCCCAGAGCUUAACUUUGGAACUGCAUUUUUAACUACCGGGCUAGAGUGUGUCAGAGGGAGGUGGAAUUCCGCGUGUAGCAGUGAAAUGCGUAGAUAUGCGGAGGAACACCGAUGGCGAAGGCAGCCUCCUGGGAUAACACUGACGCUCAUGCACGAAAGCGUGGGGAGCAAACAGGAUUAGAUACCCUGGUAGUCCACGCCCUAAGCGAUGUCAACUAGCUGUUGGGGUCUUCGGACCUUGGUAGCGCAGCUAACGCGUGAAGUUGACCGCCUGGGGAGUACGGUCGCAAGAUU
rnacentral:rRNA from 1 species